GAUGAAGAACGUAGCGAAAUGCGAUAAGUAGUGUGAAUUGCAGAAUUCAGUGAAUCAUCGAAUCUUUGAACGCACAUUGCGCCCUUUGGUAUUCCUUAGGGCAUGCCUGUUCGAGCGUCAUUUAAACCUUCAAGCUAAGCUUGGUGUUGGGUGACAGUCCGCUUCACGGCGGACUCGCCUCAAAAUUAUUGGCGGCCGGUACAUUGGCUUCGAGCGCAGCAGAAACGCGAACUCGGGCCCGUCGUAUUGGCUCCCAGAAGCUAUCUUCACAAUUUUGACCUCGGAUCAGGUAGGGAUACCCGCUGAACUUAAGCAUAUCAAUAAGCGGAGGA
rnacentral:misc_RNA from 1 species